UCCUACGGGGGGCAGCAGUCGGGAAUAUUGCGCAAUGGAGGAAACUCUGACGCAGUGACGCCGCGUAUAGGAAGAAGUUUUUCGGAAUGUAAACUAUUGUCGUUAGGGAAGAGAAAGGACAGUACCUAAGGAGGAAGCUCCGGCUAACUACGUGCCAGCAGCCGCGGUAAUACGUAGGGAGCGAGCGUUAUCCGGAAUUAUUGGGUUUAAAGGGUGCGCAGGCGGCACGGCAAGCCGGCGGUCAAAUCGCGGGGCUCAACCCCGCCCAGCCGUCGGAACUGCCGGGCUAGAGUGGGCGAGAAGUG
rnacentral:rRNA from 1 species